UACGUAGGGUGCAAGCGUUAAUCGGAAUUACUGGGCGUAAAGCGUGCGCAGGCGGCUAUGCAAGACAGAUGUGAAAUCCCCGGGCUCAACCUGGGAACUGCAUUUGUGACUGCAUGGCUAGAGUACGGUAGAGGGAAGUGGAAUUCCAGGUGUAGCGGUGAAAUGCGUAGAUAUCUGGAGGAACACCGGUGGCGAAGGCGGCUUCCUGGACCGACACUGACGCUGAGGCGCGAAAGCCAGGGGAGCAAACGGG
rnacentral:rRNA from 1 species